UACGUAGGGGGCUAGCGUUGUCCGGAAUCAUUGGGCGUAAAGCGCGCGUAGGCGGCCCGGUAAGUCCGUUGUGAAAGUCAAAGGCUCAACCUUUGAAAGCCGAUGGAUACUGCCGGGCUGGAGUCCGGAAGAGGCGAGUGGAAUUCCUGGUGUAGCGGUGGAAUGCGCAGAUAUCAGGAGGAACACCGAUGGCGAAGGCAGCUCGCUGGGACGGUACUGACGCUGAGGCGCGAAAGCGUGGGGAGCAAACGGG
rnacentral:rRNA from 1 species